ensembl:lncRNA
AGCCAGAGAGCAGUGAUUGGUCAGACCAUAGACAAUAUAGAAGACAGCGCGCUAGCGUAUCUAGUCUAUGUAUAUCUAUGGUCGGAACGUCUGGUAGCAUCUCUGGCUGCUGUUGAUCUUGUUUUUGGAGUAAAACACGAUGUUCAGAGGGAGAUGAUGCCACAUCUGGUCCAGCCGAUGGAAGGUCUUGAAGUUCUCUGACUGGCCUCGACUGAAGAUGGUCGUCUCACUGGAUUUAAGGUUCAGAUGCUCAGUAACAAACUCCACCAAUGUGCCAACAGGGAAGCUUUAGCUUUAUUAAAUGUUGCUAUGAAGGUUUCGCUGUUUUUCUUUGUGAAUGCAAUGUGCUCCAACUGAAACUUGAAUUAGAACUUAGAAGUAAAUCCUUCCAUCUGAAAGGAUUUAGUUGCAUUAAUAACCUCAUAACAUUCUAAUUUUUCUUCCAGUCUUAGUUGGAAAUAGAAUCUCUGUAUUGAUUCAGGUAAAAACUGAACUUCACAGCAUGUUGGAGCAAAACAACCAGAUGAAAACUGUGAUGGUGUUGGAUUGUCAGACCGUAAUGUUGCAGCUCAAAGCAGCUUUUCUAUCUCAGUUCAUUCUGACAUUCAGCUAUGAAUCAACACAGCAGAUGGUGAUCCAUGCUGUGGAAGUCUCACAUCUCCUGAUUUAAUGGAGCUGCUUUGCACUUUUUACACUGUUUAUUCACCAACACUUUAUUUGAUAAAAGUCCCAUCUAGUUUUUAUGAGGAAUGUGAUGUUUUAAUUUCUCUGUGAAUAACUGCAGUCUAAUGCAACAGCUGGAGUUGUAACAUCUGUCCUGAUAGUGAUCAUGAAGUAUUGAUCAGAAUACUUAUGGU